CGCUGAACAAAAGAGCUGCCUGGUAACUGAGUCCUGCCUGUGGUUCUCAGCUUGCCAGCGUCUGUCCAAGAGCAGGCUGCGACCCCCACACCUGCUGGUCUCUUCUUUCCAAGCCGGCCUCUUAGCAACGGCCCUGGCUCCCCACAUUUGCUAAAAGCUGCAGAGGUACAAAGGAACCUUGGAGACAGGCAGAAAACAGAGGCAGAGCGGAGGGGAUCCUGCAGGAGCGAGCAUCCCAGCAGGCAGGGCCAGCAGGCAGGGCCAGCAGCGAUGCCCAGUAGCGAUGCCCCAGCGGCUAUGCUUGCCUCUUGGCGUCUUUGCUGGGACAAGGAAGUCUCCUUGGCAUCCAGGCUGUACCGAUAAAGCAGCAAGCCUUGCUCUGAGCUCCCUGAUGCAGACAGACUCCAAACGGCCUUUGUCUCCAGCACCGCAGCCGUCAGACAGAGGUGGGCAUCCCACCGGCUGCCAGGGAUAGCCUGUACACGCACAAGCAGAAGCCUCCGGCUGCUAGGGGCGGCAGAAACCACAAUAUUCAGCUUCCCCGGAGGGAAAGGUAAGGAGGAGCCAGGUCUAGAUGCUUCAUUUGCCUCGCUCCCUGAAGCCCUUGCCCAGCUCUCACGCUGGCUAGAGAAGACAAAGCUAACCAGCUCCUAGGCCAGCAGCAAGCAUGGAGCUCCGCUCUUACUCAGGUGCCGGAGCUACAUGAAGGCCGACUGAUGAAUAGAUGUGACUGGAGGAGGUUGCUGCCUCGCCCUGACAGAGAAGCCCAGGCAUGCUCUUUGGAAACAGCCCUGGGGGGGGCGGGGGACGGUGCAUUCAUUAAUCGUGAAUUUCUGUUCAUUUCCCGUGGUCUCACUCUCAGGCAUCCCAUGGGCUUCCGUUUGGGUUUAUACACAGGGCACCCUCCUCUUGUGCCCUUUUGCCCUGGAGAAGCUCAUUUAUCAUGUGAAGGAGCAAACCACCUGCCACAGGAAGUCAGCUUGUACCCCGGUACUUCUCAUUAACACCCUAGAUCAGCAGCACUGCUCACACUUUUCAGUCCUCUGUCGCGGCUUCAUUUGCAUGGAAUUUCCAGCCUUCCCUGAGAUGUUAUUAGCCUGAGUGAGCAAAGAACCAAGCCCCCAGCCUCAUAUAAAGUGCCAGAAUGACUGGCCCAGCCUAGACACCAUCCAGGUGGAAAGACGUCCGUUGGGUAAGAAAAUGAAGCUGGCAGAAGUGUUAAAAUGGCUCCAUCCUAAGGCACAGUGCAUGUGCUAGAAACGGUUAUGGCUUUAGUACAGCUGCGAGGAAGAAGGCAAUUGCACCUCAGUUCUGGAGCUUACAACCAGGUGCACUUUGCGUUCACCUGCACCAGGCUUUGUUUGUUUGUUUGUUUGUUUCCUUUCGGCUUGGAACCAUUUCAUGAGGAGCCGUGAGACAUGUCUCAGCAGGGUGCAGAGUCACCACACUUGGCAAGCUGUAGAGCAGCUUGCUAGGAUUUCCACUCCCUACCACCACCACCACCACGAGCGAGUUGGGGUCCCUAACAGUGGGGUUCUGAUGCCUUAGAGGUAGUAACCAAGCCAUUUCCUGAAUCUCCCUGGACAACCCCAGUCCUCACCUUAGUGAAUUUUCUGCUGUCUGGGUAGAGACUUUUCCUUUCAUCGUGGCCAUGGCAAGAAAUAAUCUGCCGAGAGACAAGGAGCAUCUUGGCCCCACCUGAGGGAACAUGGAUGCCCACACUAGGGAUCUCUGGUCCUCCCUGUGUCUUUUGACCUUAAUGAUUUCUUUUCCACCUUAUUUUUCUCUGCUGAUUGAAUGCACUCUUUGUUAUGGGUCACUAGCAAACAGAGAGCUCAGGAGAACAAAUGGCCGAGGGCCUUACAAAUGAGAGCAUCCUUGAAUGAACCAGCUUUCGCAAGGCUCUCCAAGAGGGACCAACUUCAAAUGGCUUGUGGGGCAUACAUGCAAAACCAGGAGAGAGGCUGCAAUUCGCUGCUAAAAGGUUGUCCCUCUUUUCCCGUUUCCUUCUUAAAAAGCAAAAAGCUAGCCAGACCGAUUGCCUUUGUAAAAGGUGAGCGCUCAUUGUCUAGUCACCGAAUCACACCUUGAUCUUUAUUUACUCAGCAGUCUGACUGACUCCCAUUGAUUUGAGAGAAGGGCUCAGGAUGGGUGUGUUCUAUUAUCCAUGGGGGUGGGGAGAAAGAAAAAGAAACACUCCCCACUCAUUUAUGUUUGUGUGAGAGUCAAUUAAAAGGCACCUUCCAACGCCAGUCAGAUCCCACGGAGAAGAUGCAAGUGUUCAAAUCCACAUAACCUACAGAACUUGGGAACAGACUCCUCAAAUAACUGUGUGGUUUGGAGCGACUUUGUUUUUCCAGUGUUGAACAAUAAGCUGAUUAAUUCACUUUUUUUUUCUUUCAAAGUCAGUUUCAAGCACUAAUUUUUUUUUUCUUUUUUUAACAUCUACAAAGAACCUGGAAGGGAAUACAAAUUCCUUCCUGGAAAACACAUCUCCCUUCCUGCCCUCCCUGCACCCUCUGAUAAAUAACAUGAGCAUGCAGCGAUUUGCCAACAGCAGCUCCAGGCAUGAGGCACAACAUCUGUUAGCGAGAAGCUGGAGAGACAGUGGAAGCAUGCUGGCCGCCUGCCCACCUUCAGACUCCAGAUUUUUGCUGACAAGGCUGUCAAUAAAUGGGCAGAUGGCAUGGGCUUUGCUGGCAGGAGAGUUCAGUUAACCCGGCUCCAGACGUUACCUCCAGUUCAUGGUGCACUGGGCUGAGCCCUUCACUGGACCAUGAAAGCUGUUCUCGAUGGAGCAGAGAGGGCAAGACGAAGUACUGGGAAGGGGGAGGCAGACGCUCGAUUCCUUUAAUUACAUUAACUGAGCCCCUCCUGCAGUUGGCAGGCAGGGUGAGAUUAGCCCCUGUGACCACAGACGUGGGAAGGGGGAGGGGGGAGCAGCCACAGUGCUGUUUCGACCUGAGCAUCCGAUCCUCAGGAGCUUUGUAUCUCCCCUCGCUAGAAUAAAUGCUCACUAGAAUGGAUCUCCGUGCCUCCUUUACAAGCACAAAGGCUCUUGAGUUGUCUUGCAGGAGCUGCACGCAAAACAUGCUGCCGCCAGUGUUCUCUACCCAGCAACAGCUCCGCUAACUCACAGAGACGUCCUCUGGUGGAGACUUGGGGAAAACACCCUCUGCCAUCUGAGGAGGGUCAAGCCUGCAGUGACCGCCUCAAUAUCAGACUCAUCAGACGAUAGCAGAGGAGCACACCAUGCGUGACCUGAGGAUUCACCCACAACAAAGGACUCUUCAGACCAGAGUGUCAGCUGUGCCAGGGUUGAGAAUCCUGCAUCAGGACAAAGGAAAUGAAUGGACGUUUCUCGCAUCCCUUGAAAAGGAGAUCAAAGGAAGAGCAGCUGGUGGGCAUACAAAGCAGAAGCCGGGGAUUUGCUCUCAGUGUCUCAGGUAGACUCACCACAGUGUCACUAUUCUGAAUGCUAUUCACGACUCACCAAACGUUCCCCCAAGUUCUUACAGAUGUCCUUGCCAUCCGAUCUGAACAGUGAAACAUCAGAUCCACGAAAGCCGUCUCAGUCUAAUGCACGUUUAUCAAAGGAAGCUGUCUACCUGCUGCCAAACUGGGACGGCAGAGGCUGGAAUGGAAGUAUGUUUAAAAACCAGGAGCUGAACAUUGUAGUUCACGCCUGGAAUCCCAGCACUCAAGAGGCUGAGGCAAGAGAAUUGCCAUGAGUUCCAAGCCAGCCUGGAGUAAAGAAUGAUACUCUGUCUCACAAGAAACACACACAUGUGCACAUAUGCAAACACAUGUGCUCACACAUGCACACUUAUGCAUGAUCACACAGGAGUGAAAUAAAUAAAUACAUAAUUAAUUAAAUCAAUAAGCCUAGCAAUUAAAGGCUGAGACAUAAGUCAGACUGGGGAGGUGAAAAAAGGAUUGAAGAUGAGUACAAACUUUGUGUACUUAGGAUUUAGCAGACCACAUUUUCAUUUGCCUUCUGUGGUUGGAGUAGCUGUGGCCAGGCUAAUUUUAAGGAAUAGCACCCUUUUAGAGGUAGCAGUCAGGCUAAGCCCUGGCCUAUUUCUUGUUAGAUUUUUAAGAAUCUGUGCUUCCUCUCUUCCCCUAAAAAAUAAACCAGCUGUUGAGGUAUAAGGCUUAGUCCUGCCAUUAGGGUCACUGAGCUAUCCUAAUUUAUACACCAUCAUUCUGGGUGGAUUGAGCCUCCAAACCCAUGAGGCUACUGUCCUUUUCAAGAGGAAAAACUUAAACCCAGUUUUCCACACAGACAGAACACUGGCCAGACAUGAAAACAAAAGGUCAGGGUGUUGCCAACAAGGUCCCUGAAGCCAGGAGACGAGCACAGCACAGAUUAUCUCUUGUAGCCCUCUGAAAGCACCCACCUCCAGAACCAGAACUGAGAGCCUCAACUCUGCUGCGGAAGCCACCAGGACUAGGUUUGGGCUGUGGUGACAGGAGCUCUAGCUAACCAGCAGAGACGAGGUGAACACUAACGCAAGGCAAGAUCAGGCAGAAUAUCCUCACUAGAGUUAUCCAAUGGCUGCCUGCAAACGGCUCUCACACCACCAACCCGGGGCACAGAGGCAGCAUCACCUCCAUCUAACAGGAAGCAGAAGAGAGUUAGGCAGUACCUCAAGAGCCCUCACGUCAUUAUGCUGAUGGAGCAAGCCUUUCGGGAAGGCCUGCUACACACUGGGGAACACUCUCCUUUCCAAACCGGUGUGAGAGGUGGGAAGUGAGGGUCAUACUUACUUUGAUCCCUUUUACUAUUUUGGGAACAUGGCAUUUCCAAGGCCCUUACAAGCAUGUUAGGAUCGACAGGGAUGGUCACACCUGUAUGCAUGCCAGCAGUAUCUUGGACCUCUGAAACAAAUCAACUAAAUAAUGUAUAGGGGUCCAGUCCAGGACAUAAUCUAGGAGGGGGUCUAUGGCUGAGACACAUACAGGAGGAAGGACCCAGAGCCGGGAGGGAGAGCUGCUGAGACUGGAGACCAAGUUUUAGGACCCCUGGGAGACACCACAGUUAUGCUCUGUAGACUUAUAAAUUUAGGUAGUGAGAUGUCCACUGCAGACAGUUACAUCCACAUAUAAUCCUCUACCCCUAAGCAAUGCAUUUUAUUACUGUAAUUCAGGUUUUACAACUCAAGAAAAAAAUUAAACUUACAUUAGAUAUAACAGAUGUUAGGAGUCAGCCAAGAAGUGGUAGAUUGCUUUUCUUUUUGCUGUGACUAAAGAUCCAACAAGAAGCAUCUUAAGGGAGAAAGGGAUUCUUUUGUCUUCUAGCUUGUGAGUAGAGUCCACACAGGAAGGGGUGGCAACAGGAACACCAGCUGACCGGUAGCAUUUUUUCUGCAACCAGGAAGCCCAGAAUGGAUAGAAUGUACAACAGAACUGUAAAACCAAAGGGCUCACCCUGACAGUGACAUGGGCCUUCUAGCAAGAUUGCAUCUACUAAACUAUCCAUAGCUUUCCAAAACGGUGUCACCAACUAGGGACCAAGUAUUCCAACACGUGUGCCUGUGGGGGACAUUUCACUCUCAAACCACAACACCUACUAUGCUAUUAAAAAAAAAAAAUGAGUUCAUUGUGAAAUUGUUUAAAAUUCCCUGGUGAAAGUUAGACAAGAUGCUCAGUUAAAAUGCACAGCAUUGUAGAUUUCCUCCUGACUUGGGUGAGAAGUUGGUGGCUGGUUUGGGGCCUUCGUUUUUUUUUUGUUUGUUUUGUUUUGUUUUGUUUUUCUUUCUGUUUGUUUGUUUUAAUUAUUUUCCUAUUAUUUUUUUUGUUGCUAUUUUGUUCUGUUUGAAACCUUUAAGCUGUUUUAUUCAAUGAGCCCCAAAUCUGGGAAGAUGGAAGGUUAAUACCCUAAAAGCUGUCUGACAUCUCAUCUCCAGCCAUCAGGUUAUCUAGGACAAAGCUACUGAUAAGUGAUCCUGGAGCCCAGUCUUGGCCCUCUGGCUAGGUGCUGAGCCUUAUUACUGAGACUUGGGAUGUUUGUGGCCUCCAUCUUAUCAUCCCUGGCACUUCCUGUGGUUGUUUUGAGAGAGUAUCCCUCUGUGGCCCAGGAUGGCCUGGAACUCCUUACGUGGCCCAGUAUACCUUUGAAUGUAUAAACAGUGCUUCUGUGUCAGCCUUCCUAGUGCAAGGAUUACAAGCAUGAGCCAGCAUGCAGGCCCUAGUAUUUCAUUUUUGUUUACACAUUAUCGGAGGGGAAAAACAUUAUAAUAUCUCUUGUCGACUUGACACACCUGGUAAGGGGGACCCUCAGUUGAAGUGUUGCCCCCUGAGCAUGGCCCCUGAGCAUGUCUGUAGGGCAUUUUCUUAAUUGCUAAUUGAUGUAGGAGUGCUCAGCCCACUGUGGAUGCAGGUCCGUGAGUACGUGGCCCUUCCUUGUAUAAGAAAGGCAGCUGAGCCUUCCAGAGGAAGUAACCUGUAUGUGACCUGUAUGUUGGCUCUGACUGUGUGGUCUCUGAGCUUUUCAUCAUCUGCACACCUGUACUGAGAAAAGGAACAUAAUGCGGCACAGCUCUGACUAACUCCAAGAAACACUGCAUUAUGAACCAACAAUGCAGUCUGAAACCAACAGCCUCAUCCCUGUCCCAGCAUGCUCCUUGUGUCUGUGCAGCCUCUAUCCCACCGAGCCUCUUCUUCUGCUUGAAUUCCUUCCCUGACUUCCCUAUGUGGUGGGUUGUAAUCAGGAAGUAUAAACCAAAAUAAAUGCUUCACCCCCCCCAAAAAAAAAUACCCCACAGUUUUAAUUAAGUCUAAGAGAAUUUCAUACCCUCGUGGACACUGAGCUGCCAUGGGCUACAUCCGUGCAGGGGUUCUAAGUUAUCUCCAUGCAUGGUCCUUGUUUGGAGUAUCAGUCUCAGAACAGACCCCCUGGACCCAGAUAUUUUGGUUCUGUUGCUCUCCAUGUGGAGCUCCUGUUCCCUCCAGGUCUUUCUAUCUCCCCCCUUCUUUCAUAAGAUUCCCUGCCCUCUGCAAAAAGUUUGGCUAUGAAUCUCAGCAUAUGAGGGAUCGUCUCUGACAUGAACUCAUGAGCUGGCUCUUUGAUCACCUCCAUCUGAGGGGGGAGCAGCCUUACCAGUCCACAGAGGAAGACAAUGCAGCUAGUCCUGAUGAGACCUGAUAGACUAGGGUCAGAUGGAAGGGGAGGAGGACCUCCCUUAUCAUUGGACUGGGGGAGGGGCAUAGGAGAAGAAAAGGGAGGAAAGGUGAGAUUAAGAGGGGAUGGGGAGGAGGCUACAGCUGGGAUACAAAGUGAAUAGACUGUAAUUAAUAAAAAAAAUUUUUAAAAAUUCAAGGAAAGAGAAACUGAAAAACAAGAGAAUUUGAUACAAUGUGUUUUGGUCAUAUUCACUCCUCCUCCUAACUCAGAUCCACCUCUACCUCCCCACCCUCCCUCCCAAUUUUGUACCCUCUUUUUAUUACUUUUAAAUAACCCACUGACUCCUUUUCUUGCUCACACUCCUGGGAGUGGGGCCAUCCUACCAGGUGCCACAACCUUAAAGAAAACAUCUUCCCUUCCUCCAGAAGCCAUCUCCUGUGCACUGCUCCCCCAGUAAGGACGGGUCUCCGUGAACCCCUUUCCCAGCCAUGCUAGAAUGUGGAUUGUCUUGAGCCCAUGCUGAGCCCGUGCAGCCAGCUGUAGCUGCUGUGAGUUCAUGAGUGUUCUUGUCACAUCCAGAAGAUGCAGUUAGCAUCAGUUCUCCCAGACCUCUGCCCUUGCAAUCUUUCUGCUCCUCUUCCUUGAUGGUCCCUGAGCCUGGAAGGGGACGUGGGGGAGGGGGUUGUGUCUGAGCACUCCACUGACAUUUAUCCUCUGCACGUUGGCCAGUUGUGAAGCUCUAGGCAAGGUGCCCUCCAGAGUACCUACCUAGUUGUUAAAGUAAGCUUUUUUUAACACUCCCUGUGCGUUAUCUCACACAGUCAGUGUUCCUGGAGUCUGGUCUUCCGUUGUCCUGUUCAGAACUAGGAACAUGUUGAAGCCCUCUUAACUAGGCAUCCAGACUGUCUCUGGUAAUCUUGUUUCCUGCCUCAUUGCUCUGGGCUAAUCUUUAUACUAAUAGCAGGACUAAUUAUUUUUUUUUAAGCUCACACCUGAUCAUGUGAUUUAAGCAUUUCUCUGAAAACAAACAAGCAAAAAAAAUUCUUUCACAGGUCUCCCUCUACUCUUUUGAAGUAACAUUUAAUCUCCAAUUUGACUUGGCAGAAUCCAUCUCUUUCUCCUGUUUCUAUAACCCAAACUCACCAGCACACAUCUUUACUCUCAGCCACAUAAGGCCCUCCCUGUCCCUCAUUUUCUGUUUAUCUUAUGCUUUCUGCAUCACCUGAAUGCCCUCCAAAAAAAAAAAAAAAAAAAAAAAAAAAGAAAGCAAAAA